GUCUUGAUUCUUAUAGCGCAGUGGAACCACUCCAAUCCAUUCCGAACUUGGUUGUUAAAUGCUGCAGCGGCAAUAAUACUGAAAGGGAAGCCUUUUGGAAAGGUAGCUCAGUAUCAAGACUAUACAUAAUCUGAACAUAUGUU
rnacentral:rRNA from 1 species